rnacentral:misc_RNA from 1 species
GUAAAGCAGAGAUGAACAAGUAUAAACAAAGAAAUGGAUGGAAUAAGGAACAUACUUUUCAACACUGUGCCCAGCUAUAGCUGUUGAAUACACAAUAGGUGCCCAACUCAGAGAACGAACCUUCCGUCUAACAUCUUCCUCAUAAAAUAUAGUAGUUUCUUGGUUCUUGUUUGGGAUCGUAUCCCACUUGUUCACAACAAUGAGGCAACCCUUCCCUUCUCUCUCUAUCCUUUCUGCAAUUUUGCAAUCCUGUUCAG